AGUGAACGCUGGUGGUAGGCCUAACACAUGCAAGUCGAACGGCAGCACAGUAAGAGCUUGCUCUUACGGGUGGCGAGUGGCGGACGGGUGAGGAAUACAUCGGAAUCUACUUUUUCGUGGGGGAUAACGUAGGGAAACUUACGCUAAUACCGCAUACGACCUACGGGUGAAAGCAGUGGAUCUUCGGACCUUGCGCGAUUGAAUGAGCCGAUGUCGGAUUAGCUAGUUGGCGGGGUAAAGGCCCACCAAGGCGACGAUCCGUAGCUGGUCUGAGAGGAUGAUCAGCCACACUGGAACUGAGACACGGUCCAGACUCCUACGGGAGGCAGCAGUGGGGAAUAUUGGACAAUGGGCGAAAGCCUGAUCCAGCCAUACCGCGUGGGUGAAGAAGGCCUUCGGGUUGUAAAGCCCUGUUGUUGGGAAAGAACAGCAGCAGGUUAAUACCCCGAUGUUCUGACGGUACCCAAAGAAUAAGCACCGGCUAACUUCGUG
rnacentral:rRNA from 1 species